rfam:Ictidomys tridecemlineatus contig081495, whole genome shotgun sequence.
UGGGUUGUGGCUCAGCGGUAGAGCAUUUGCCUAACAUGUGUGAUGCACUGGGUUCAAAUCUCAGCACCACAU